rnacentral:rRNA from 1 species
CCCUUAGAUGUUCUGGGCCGCACGCGCGCUACACUGAUGCAUUCAACGAGCCUAUCCUUGACCGACAGGUCCGGGUAAUCUUUGAAUCUGCAUCGUGACGGGGAUAGAUUAUUGCAAUUAUUAAUCUUCAACGAGGAAUGCCUAGUAGGCGCAAGUCAUCAGCUUGCGUCGAUUACGUCCCUGCCCUUUGUACACACCGCCCGUCGCUACUACUGAUUGGGUGUUCAAGUGAGAUACUUAGACCCUUGUUGCAUGGUUCAUUAUUGUGCUCCGAAAGGAAAAAGUUUCAAGCUUGAGUGUCUAGAGGAAGUAAAAGUCGUAACA